rnacentral:rRNA from 1 species
GAUGAACGCUAGCGGCAGGCUUAAUACAUGCAAGUCGAGGGGUAGCAAGAUUGUAGCAAUACAAUUGUUGACGACCGGCAAACGGGUGCGGAACACGUACACAACCUUCCUACAAGUGGGGAAUAGCCCAGAGAAAUUUGGAUUAAUACCCCGUAACAUAGCGAUGUGGCAUCACAUUGCUAUUAUAGCUUCGGCGCUUGUUGAUGGGUGUGCGGCUGAUUAGAUAGUUGGCGGGGUAACGGCCCACCAAGUCUACGAUCAGUAGCUGAUGUGAGAGCAUGAUCAGCCAAACGGGAACUGAGACACGGGCCCGACUCCUACGGGAGGCAGCAGUAAGGAAUAUUGGACAAUGGACGCAAGUUUGAUCCAGCCAUGCCGCGUGAAGGAUUAAGGUCCUCUGGAUUGUAAACUUCUUUUAUAAGGGACGAAAAAAGGUCUUUCUAGAUCGUCUGACGGUACCUUAUGAAUAAGCACCGGCUAACUCCGUGCCAGCAGCCGCGGUAACAC